UAGCUUUGUCCUAAGUCAAACUUCUUAAGCUUUGACCAAGUUUAUAGAAAAAUGUACUAAUAUCUACAAUAUCAAAUAAGUAUACACUAUGAAGAUAUAUAUCAUGGUGGAUUUAAUAAAACUAAUUUAUAAUUGUAGAUGUUGGUAGAUUUUUAUAUAAACUUGGUCAAACUUUAAGAAGUUUGACUUAGGACAAAGCAAC
rfam:Brachypodium distachyon strain Bd21 chromosome 4, whole genome shotgun sequence.